rnacentral:rRNA from 1 species
GACGAACGCUGGCGGCGUGCCUAAUACAUGCAAGUCGAACGCUGAAGGAGGAGCUUGCUUCUCUGGAUGAGUUGCGAACGGGUGAGUAACGCGUAGGUAACCUGCCUGGUAGCGGGGGAUAACUAUUGGAAACGAUAGCUAAUACCGCAUAAGAGUAGAUGUCGCAUGACAUUUGCUUAAAAGGUGCAAUUGCAUCACUACCAGAUGGACCUGCGUUGUAUUAGCUAGUUGGUGAGGUAACGGCUCACCAAGGCAACGAUACAUAGCCGACCUGAGAGGGUGAUCGGCCACACUGGGACUGAGACACGGCCCAGACUCCUACGGGAGGCAGCAGGAGGGAAACUUCGGCAAUGGACGGAAGUCUGACCGAGCAACGCCGCGGGAGUGAAGAAGGUUUUCGGAUCGUAAAGCUCUGUUGUAAGAGAAGAACGAGUGUGAGAGUGGAAAGUUCACACUGUGACGGUAUCUUACCAGAAAGGGACGGCUAACUACGUG